GUGAGGAAUUUUCCGCAAUGGGCGAAAGCCUGACGGAGCAAUGCCGCGUGAAGGAUGAAGGCCUAUGGGUUGUAAACUUCUUUUCUCAGAAAAGAAUUAUGACGGUAUCUGAGGAAUAAGCAUCGGCUAACUCUGUGCCAGCAGCCGCGGUAAGACAGAGGAUGCAAGCGUUAUCCGGAAUGAUUGGGCGUAAAGCGUCUGUAGGUUGUUUAAAAAGUAUUCUGUCAAAGAUUAGGGCUUAACCCUAGAUAGGCAGAAUAAACUUUUAAGCUAGAGUUUGGUAGAGGCAGAGAGAAUUCCCGGUGCAGAGGUGAAAUGCGUAGAUAUCGGGAGGAACACCAAAGGCGAAGGCACUCUGCUGGGCCAAUACUAACACUGAGAGACGAAAGCGAGAGGAGCAAAUGGGAUUAGAUACCCGAGUAGUCC
rnacentral:rRNA from 1 species